UACGGAGGGUGCGAGCGUUGUCCGGAAUCACUGGGCGUAAAGGGCGCGUAGGCGGCAUGCCAAGCGUGUGGUGAAAGCCCCGGGCUCAACCUGGGAAUGGCAUUGGAAACUGGCGGACUCGAGUGUGGCAGAGGGGGGUGGAAUUCCGCGUGUAGCAGUGAAAUGCGUAGAUAUCAGGAGGAAUACCGAUGGCGAAGGCAGGUCUCUGGGCUGACACUGACGCUCAUGCACGAAAGCGUGGGGAGCAAACAGG
rnacentral:rRNA from 1 species